AGUUCCCCAUAUCACAGAUCAUGUGGCAGUGGAGAAACCAUAGGUGUCAGUGCAUCUCAGGAGCAAGGCAUGGGCCUCACCUUGAGAAAACCACCUCGAUUCGAUUAUGGUCUUUCUUUUGCCAGGGUCAACAAGUUGUCACAUCGAAAAGUUCUGGAGAACCCAGCCUGUGGACGGAUUCAUGGACGCUGUCUGAAGAUUUAAGAGCUGGCUGAUUUCAACCUCUUCCCACUAUUACACAGAUGUCCACUGUUUCAUGGGAAUAUCAAUUAGGCUUGUUUUGGUUGCAAGGCUGUUUGAGGAAUGCUUCUCCAGGACACCUUGUGAUCAGUCGUUUUCUGUAACCAGUGCUCUAUAAGCUCCAGAAUGGCCAGAGAGCAUAUUUACAACCUGCCUGUUUGAACCUGUUGACUCAGGGCAAAUCCUCAGUUAUCUGGGCCAGUAUGAAAGAUUCUACUCAACUGCAGUUGGGCACAGGCCUCAUCUCUCAAAGCUCCAUCUUUGUAAAUCGGGAUUCGAAGGGAUAGAGAGAGUUACUUUGGGAAGGUUCAGCAAGACAGCCCAUGCACGAGACAUCAUGGCCUUUGCCAGGUUCUCUUAAACCUAGUUAGUGCUCCAAUGCAGAGCUCACUCUCACGGAGCCUCAGAGCCCUGGGCUGGUCCCACAGUGCACGGGGCAGCAGGCUCAGGCUCAGGCUUUGAGGCAGGCAGCAUCCAGCUCGACGCCCUUGGAGCGUUUCCUCAGUCUGACACCUCACAGUGUAAGUACGCUGUGCAGCAUGUCCUCCUACAUUCUGUGGUGUUCCGAAGGAAAAGGAGUAAUGAUGACAGCAAACAUUCAGGACUAUUACAUGCUGCUGAAAAAAAAAUUGAAGUAAGAGAAAUUAGAAAGUUUAUAAAAAAUCCAAUUGGGUUAAAUGAAGAAAAUACAUUUGACUUUUGUAACUAGGAAGGAACAAAUUGAUGUUCUUUUUAAAAGCAUGAAAUUUAUAAUUGUGAGACAAAGACAAUAUGUCUA
rnacentral:lncRNA from 1 species